CUGCAACUCCAUUAACAUAGUGUUGCUUCAUUCACUCCAUUCACACUAUAAUAAUCAUGUCUCUUAAAACUUUAUUGUUUAGGUCAAUUGUGAGGUUUGUGACAUGUUUUGUUGGAGAGCCAACGACUUCAAUCUCAACCCUCCUAUACUACAGUGGUCUUCUUCCUCACAAUGUCAUUCUAUUGAGAAUGGUUCGCCAUGAGUUGUUAGAUCAAGAAAAUCACCUCUUCCAUCUUCUCAUCUCUAUGAUGAGUUGUUGGUGGUGAUAUAUGUAUGUAUGCUUAUAUUUUUUAAUUAUUUUCAAUCUUCAUUUUCUGGCUUAUUGAAUUCAGCAAGAGUUAUUUUUGGGAAGGAGAAGCUUUGAGGAAAGAAUAUAUUUGAUGUUUUGUAUCCUUUGGAAGC